GCUUUUGAUCAGAACCUGUCUCCUAUAUGCAUAUCUAUCAGAAUUAAAUAGGUGGUCAAAAACUGUCGACAAACUAAUGUAUGGGCCUGGUCGUAAAGUGCAGUCUAAAUUUCCAUUGUAGGGACCGUACAACUCUCGUCCUUGCCAGUACGUGUGCGUGAUCCAGGCAAUGUCAAGUACGCCCACCGCUUACUAUUGCUAAUAUUCACCCUUAACAUCCGCUAGCCCAGUCCGUAACAAUGCAAGAUAACUGCCACCAUUAACAGUCUAAAAGGUAUGUCCCUGUGUGCAGCCGCUCCUAUGAUAAAAGAAUAAUCCAAUGAUUUUAAUAAUAAUCCAAACAAAUAGCAAAAGCUUUUUCCUCCAUCUAAUCUGUCCAAAGAUCUGACUAGUACCAUAUCUAUUACUAAGCUGGCGUCGAGAUUUGAAUUCCAAUCUGAGUCCUGCCCCCCAUUCAAUUCAGAGUUCCAAAAUUCUCCAUUAAAGACCGACAGAAAGGCCAGCGACCAGCAGAUCAGUGCAGAGACCGACAAUCAUUGCCAAAGCAACGCAAAGCCUGGCCUCGAACUGAAUUUACAAUAAAAAUUCUUAAUUCUUGGUACAAAAAUUUCUGUAUUUAGCUGAUGAAAAUAAUUU
rnacentral:sRNA from 1 species